AACGUACGCUGGCGGCACGCCUAACACAUGCAAGUCGAACGAAGUAGCAAUACUUAGUGGCAGACGGGUGAGUAACAUGUAGGUAUCUACCCUUUGGCCUGGAAUAACACGAGGAAACUUGUGCUAAUACCGGAUAAGUCUUUACGGAGAAAGCUUUAUGCACCAUUGGAUGAGCCUGCACUUGAUUAGUUUGUUGGUGGGGUAAUGGCCUACCAAGACUGUGAUCAAUAGCUGAUUUGAGAGGAUGAUCAGCCACAUUGGGACUGAGACACGGCCCAAACUCCUACGGGAGGCAGCAGUGGGGAAUCUUGCACAAUGGAGGAAACUCUGAUGCAGCGAUGCCGCGUGAGUGAAGAAGGCCUUUGGGUUGUAAAGCUCUUUCGUCGGGGAAGAAAAUGACUGUACCCGAAUAAGAAGGUCCGGCUAACUUCGUGCCAGCAGCCGCGGUAAUACGAAGGGACCUAGCGUAGUUCGGAAUUACUGGGCUUAAAGAGUUCGUAGGUGGUUGAAAAAGUUGGUGGUGAAAUCCCAGAGCUUAACUCUGGAACUGCCAUCAAAACUUUUCAGCUAGAGUAUGAUAGAGGAAAGCAGAAUUUCUAGUGUAGAGGUGAAAUUCGUAGAUAUUAGAAAGAAUACCAAUUGCGAAGCAGCUUUCUGGAUCAUUACUGACACUGAGGACGAAAGCAUGGGUAGCGAAGAGGAUUAGAUACCCUCGUAGUCCAUGCCGUAAACGAUGUGUGUUAGACGUUGGAAAUUUAUUUCAGUGUCGCAGCGAAAGCGAUAAACACACCGCCUGGGGAGUACGACCGCAAGGUUAAACUCAAAUGAAUUGACGGGGACCCGCACAAGUAGUGGAGCAUGUGGUUUAAUUCGAAGAUACGCGCAGAACCUUACCAACACUUGACAUGUUCGUCGCGACUUUAAGAGAUUAAAGUUUUCGGUUCGGCCGGACGAAACACAGGUGCUGCAUGGCUGUCGUCAGCUCGUGUCGUGAGAUGUUGGGUUAAGUCCCGCAACGAGCGCAACCCUCACUUUUAGUUGCCAUCAUUUAGUUGGGCACUCUGAAAGAACUGCCAGUGAUAAGCUGGAGGAAGGUGGGGAUGACGUCAAGUCCUCAUGGCCCUUACGUGUUGGGCUACACACGUGCUACAAUGGUAUUUACAACAGGAAGCAAAACUGCGAAGUUAAGCAAAUCCUUAAAAGAUACCUCAGUUCGGAUUGCACUCUGCAACUCGAGUGCAUGAAGCUGGAAUUACUAGUAAUCGUGGAUCAGCGUGCCACGGUGAAUGCGUUCCCGGGUCUUGUACACACCGCCCGUCACACCAUGGGAGUUGGUUCUACCUUAAGGCAAGGUUUCAAACCCUUGACCACGGUAUAGUCAGCGACUGGGGUG
rnacentral:rRNA from 1 species